UACGUAGGGUGCGAGCGUUGUCCGGAAUUACUGGGCGUAAAGAGCUCGUAGGUGGUUUGUCGCGUUGUUCGUGAAAACCGGGGGCUUAACCCUCGGCGUGCGGGCGAUACGGGCAGACUGGAGUACUGCAGGGGAGACUGGAAUUCCUGGUGUAGCGGUGGAAUGCGCAGAUAUCAGGAGGAACACCGGUGGCGAAGGCGGCUUCCUGGACACCAACUGACGCUGAGACGCGAAAGCGUGGGGAGCAAACAGG
rnacentral:rRNA from 1 species